UCACCAUCCCGGCGGUGACGCGAGGAAAGCAGCAACGUGAGUAGAACCGGAAGAGGCUUUGGCGCCACUUCCGGAUUACGUGUCUCCGCCUCCUUCGUUCCCGGAAGAGGAGAGGAGCGGCGUUGCCAUGGCGGCGACCCUGGGGCAGGUGCUGGCUCUGGUGCUGGUGGCCGCUCUGUGGGGUGGCACACAGCCAUUGCUGAAGCGGGCCUCCUCCCGCCUGCAGCAGGUUCAUGAGCGGACCUGGGCCCGGCAGUUGCUGCAGGAAAUGAAAACCCUCUUCUUGAAUCCAGAGUACCUGAUGCCCUUUUCUCUCAACCAGUGUGGCUCCCUUCUCUAUUACCUCACCUUGGCAUCAACAGAUCUGACCCUAGCUGUGCCCAUCAGUAACUCUCUGGCCAUCAUCUUUACACUGAUUGUUGGGAAGGUCCUUGGAGAAGAUAUUGGUGGAAAACCCAGGUGCCCAUGAAAAGGCAAAGGACUGGCUGUGCACACGAGGGAGCAGGAGAUAGUUGUGCUGAAGUCAAGACCAGCUCUGGACCAUGGACUCCCUCACCCUCCUGUGUCAUCCCCAGCAGGCACCAUCCCAUGUCACUGUCAGAGGCUGGCUGAGAAGGCCUUGAAUUCUGGGGUCCCCUCACCUGAUGGAAAUGAGAGCGUGGGGAGCAUGCUUCGUGGCUCAAUAGCUCGUUGGGGUCUGGCAUAGAAAGCAGAUGGCUCAAUUUGUCUGGCUUCGUUUGGAGAGAACCGGCUUGCCUGUGCUCUGUGGCCCUGGGCCUGCGGAGGGAACACUGAGCGUGAGCCAUGGUUGUAGGCUGUCCUUACCUUCUCCACUCCCAGUCCAGGUGUGAAUGCCUCUGAUGCCUUUGGCAGCCUGGGAGAGGAGAAGCCAUCCAUCUUCAUAGCCUGCAUCUUCCCUCCCUGCUCCCUCUUCCAUCAGGCUGCUUUAUCCAGGGACAUAGUAGAUGAUGCCUGGUGUUCUAAAUGCCCAGUGAAAUCAGGUUGUAUCCUCCUACCCUCAACUCACUGGCUCAUCUCUUGGGAGGGCUCAGGCCUGGGAUAAGAUGGGAAGCUGAUAAGCAUUUUGGACCCUGUUAUGCCAGAUGUACUGAUUUUCCCAGCAUCCAAUCUGGCAUCAGGUCCAGCAACUCAGAGUCCUGAAGAUCUUCAUAGAGCCCAGAUAAGCUGGCUUUCAGACCUGGUUCUGGUCUGGCUGCUGUCAGUAACUGUGUUACCCUGAACAAAUCACUUCACUCCUCUGAACUUCAGCCUCUCCUCUGGAAAAUGGGAAUAACAAUCUUUAUUUCACAAAAUUAUUGAGAGGAUACAGUACAAUAAGGUCAGAGCCUCAGCAGGAAGCUAGUCACUUCCUUCUUUCCCAUCCACCCCCCGUCCCACAACACCCUGGGUCACCUACCACCUGCUGGUGGGGCCUGGACUUUGGACCUGGGGGACGCCUACAAUGAAAAAAGAGAAGGCUUAUAGGGGGCAGAGCAGGACAUGGAGUCAGGGUGGCUUCCUUUGCUCUAACCUGCCACCCCUCCCCUCAUAUAUACAUACCAGCAGCCCCUGGGCAGUGAGGGACUGGGCACCAGCAGCUCCAGAUAGGGGAGGGCCUUGAACUCAUCCUCUCCAACGGCCACAUAGUAAUGGCCGCUCACCAGAGCCUCCCUUGCUGACAGUGGGAGCCCGUCCAGGGUGCAGAGCCUGGGAGAGAGAGGUGAGUACAUAAGGGCCAGUGAACAAGGUGGAUCUUGAUAGUCAGCAGACUGUGAGGGGGUGGGUACAGCUCUUCCAAGGUGCUUGGCCCUGCUGGGGAGCAGCUCUCCGGGCACCAGGGCCAGUCCCCCAGGCUCCACCCUGGUUCCAAGGGCUGGGCCGGAAGGGCCUCUCCCUCUGGCACAGAAAGAAGUCCCCUUUGGGGAAACAUGCUUUCCUUUGGCCUUUUCAUCCUCUAGGAAGGCCAGAACCAGUAGGGCGGCUCCCUUUGGGGACAUUCAGGUUUCCGCAGUUCCCAGACUCACUUGCGCACAGCCCCGCUCUGUAAUUUCACCUUCUCCUUCAGGAGCUUCAACACUGCUUCCCAGUCCUCGCUGGCAGCCUGGGACAGCUUCAGGCUGAACGGAGGACUUAACAGGUCCCCAUUCCUGAACACACUGGGACAAAGAGCAGCCUGGUAAGGGGAUGUGAGCAUCCAUGUGAGAGGAUGAAGGAUGGCACCGGGGCCAGAAGACAGUCUGAGACCCAGUGCACGGGCUCCUGGAACAAAUCCACCUACUUUUCCUUGGCCUCACUGAAACAAAAAUCUAUGCCCCCGCCUCCCCAACACGGGCACUUACUGGAUGUAGCAGGGGGAACCUGCAGGUAGCUGCCGUCCAAGGGCCCCAUCACACAGCUGCCGAGUCACGGGAAGACCCUGAAACCCAUCAGGUCCCCAAAUCAGGAACGCAUUGAGGCCUUUGGUCAGGGGUAGGUAGGGUGAGGGAAAGGAACCACACUGCGGCAGAAGAGGGGGUAAGGAGCGUGAGACCGGUCACAGCUUUUACCACAGGGUGCUUCUACCUCCCUAAGUCACAUUCUUAACCCCCUCCCAUCCUUCUGUUUUAUAGCAUCCUCUUUCCUCUGAGGACCACAGCCUGGAGACAAAAGGUUGCGAAAGGUGCAGGGAACAGCAUUUUGAAAUCCUGCACCCUGGGAAGGGUAGCAGCUGGCUCCAGAGCUUUUGACCACCCUCAGCCCACUCACGGGAGCUUGUGGAAAUGUUCGAAGCCAGCAGCCACAUACAGCCCUCCGUUCUGCAGGUCUGCCAGGUCGGUGACAGGGUGGCCAUAAGGGGUGUAGAGAGCACGCACGGCCACUGGGGCCCGCACAGCCGAUGUCACCUCACAGAGGAAGGUCUCCAGGGUGGGGAAGCGGCGUUGAGUCACCACCAGCUGGCGGCCUGGGGAGAAGGGGUCCCCGUUCCGGUACACCACUACCCUCUUGGCUGCUGGACUCCCACUGGCCAUUGUGUGUCCCUGGCUAGAGACGCAGAGCUGUUGCCAGGCAACUAAGACAGGGUUGGGAGCAAUGCCAAUCAGAGGUGGAGUCCUGCCUUUUCACCCAGGUAGGCAGGGAGAGCCUCCAUAGGAGCAUCUGUCUGCAUUCAGGGUCUCAUCCAGUCUGCUCUUGGUGGGGCCUCACAGGAGGGUGGGUCUGGUCAUUAGGUAUGAAGGAAGAGCCGGGACUCAAUGAGAGGGGCAGUGGCAGAGAUCACACUGAAACACAGAUGUUCAGUACUGGGUCGGGGCAGGGAUUCUCAGAGCCUCCCUGCCACUCUGUAGCCCAACAGCUUUGGGGGGCUGUUCCCCAAGAAUGCUAGUCUGCUCCUGGGCUGUGGCUCUCGGCCAGCUCUGGAGAGGAUGCCCCAUGUCAGCAGGAAGUACACAGGAGGUCCCAGAAGCUUGUCCUGACCAGGGGCAGAAGAUAAAUACAACCAGGCUCAGAAUCUAACGAAAACCUUUAUUCUCCAUCUUUAUUUAUUCUCAACCUUUAUUCUCCAGCUUGACUUGCCCCAGAUUGCUCCCUAUCCCCAAAUGUGGGCUGAGCCACAGGCAGAGGAUGAAAGUAGCCUCCUGCCUUCUCCCUCUACUGGUUCCAGCUCUGUGCUCCAGCUUCUUUUGGCCUCACUAGCCACCAAUACCCAGGGGCAGGGGCAGGAGGCACUACUGGAACCAGGGAGCUAGGAUGAGGUCCUGUCUCCCUCACUGCCCUUUCACAGCAUCGCCCUUUGGAACCUGGUCCUCCCUGGUUCCCCAGGGUCUAGCCUGCUGGUCCUGUUUGCCACUGUCUGCCCCUCCAGUGAUCCUCUCCUGUGUGGUCUGACCCUGUGGACAGUUUCUCAGGUGGCCUUGACCUACAUGGUACAGUCCUCUGGUUUUGCCAUCCUUCAUGGCUAGAUUCACUGGAGGUUCUCUCUAUGGAGCUUUUAUCACUGGGGGUCUGGCCCUUGGGUGGUUUAUUCUUCCAGAGAUCCAGGCCACCAUGCUCUGCCAAAGACCCAUCCCAGGUGACAUAGUCCUCUGAGACGCCCAACUCUUGUGGCACAGCUCUUUGCCAAUCAAGCUCUUUUUGGCAUGGCCCCCUGGGAGAGUUGUCUUCAUUGUUUGGGUCCUUGUGGAGUGUGGGCAGCUGUGUCCUGGCCUUUCCAGGACAGGAGCCCUUAGAUUUGAGCUCUUUGUGGCUUUCAUCCUCUAGAAGUGUUGUCAGCUGCAGGCAGGUCUCUCCAGAGAUCUCUUCUCCACAGUCCAGCUCUUUGGUGAGCCUCUUCCCUGUGGCCUGGUAUUCCGAUGGUGUGGGCAGCUGUGGACCAGGCCAUCUGUAGGAUGGGUGCCUGUACUUGGCCCCAGCAGUUGUUUUAUCUGGAGUGGCCAGUCCUUCUGGGAAUUUGUGGGGUUGUGAUCCGAGCCUCCAGCAGGAGGCAUCCACAUGGCCUGGCUCUCCAGGGGUCCUGCCUCUGUAGGGCUGGUCUUCCAGUGGUGGGCCUGGUUGUGAUCCAGCUUUUUCACAGCUCUGUCCCCCAUGAUCUUGGCAUAAGCUGCGCUCAUGUCUGUUCUGGUUCACUUCUGGGGAUCUCAGUGUUUGUUUGAGAACUAGGUACUGUUAGAGAAAAGAAGAGACACUGUACCAGGCAGGACUGCUUGGGCCUGGCAGGAGGCUUUUCCCUCACCCCCACCCUUGGCCUUAAAUGUGCAAAAAAGGCUCCAAAUUAGUGCCUACCUCCUUACGGCUACCGAUGGCCUGUUGUAGCCACAGCAGCUCCAUGGCCAAGUGGCUGCGGUGGUUCUGGAGCUCCUGGAGCUCAGUCUGGCUGUGGGACAGUCCUGGACCUGCAGCUUCUGUGAAGGAGAACGAAGGGAGAAAGCCUUGAGGAGCAGGCACUAGGCACUGGCCUAGUCCUUAGACCCUGGCACCUUCCCCCUACGCAUCCAUAAGUCGCCCCCAACCAGAAGGAGGGAAGAAAGGGAUGCAGCUUAUCUAGCACAAGCCUUCACUUUUCAGAUGGGAACGCUUAGGCCCAGAGGGCAGAGGCUUGCCCUGAUCUAGGUAGAGGUGUACCUGGGUUGUUCAUCCUUGACACGUCUCUGGUCUCUUGGCUCGGUUUCCCGGUCCUCCUGCUCUGCUCAUCCUGAAGCCAGGCACUGGCAUCUCUGCAGGGAAGACUGCUGGCGUUUGUGAAGCUGUCUCCUGACUUCUUCAGUAUCAUAUCCUCCCGGAUGGUCUCUUUCUCAGUCUCUUUACAUGCGAAGCGGCUCCAUAGUUCCUGCUCUGGAUUUGGUGCCCUCUCUCCAGUGGCUUUCCAGGUCUGACAGGAUUUUGCCUUCUGAGAAAUCAAAGGUGUGAGAGCCCCGAGGCUAAACCCUCCAAGGAUCUGGACAUUCUGAUUUAGCACGCCAAUUGAUGAGGACUAAGGAUUGGGGUGUGCGGAGGUGAGUCUGUUCCCUUUUCCAUUGAGGAACGCUUGUUGGCAGGUAAUGUGGAAUGCCCUUGCCCAGGUCCCUCUUUAUUUUUUACCUCUAGGGUGUGUAGUACCUUUGGGAGAAAUCGGGGCCUGGGAAUCCAGCCCUCAGUCCACUGAAGCGUGCCCAGAUCACCCUCGAUCUCUCGUACAAUAGCUUCAUAUUCACCUCGAAGACUCUGGAACUGGCGUCGGACCAAGAAGCCCCGGAUGCAGGCCUGGUGUGGAGAACGAGGGGAGAGAAAACCCUAUCACUGCAACAUGGGGAUAUCUUGGGGGAACGCUCCUGGAGAGGUCAUUGCGUGACUGCAAGAGGGGACCCGGCCCCGGGGAAAGGACAGGUGACACUGUGCGUUGGGGCUCCGGGGAUUCGAGAGAGUGUGCUGGACUGGAUCCAGCACAAUUCUUCGAUUGAAGGCUCUUCCCACCCUUUCCCUGAUCCCGUAAGAGCUUGUGGUGGCAGUAGGGGGUGGGGGUGGGGGUGGGGGGACGCGUGAGGAUCCGUGCUGCUGCUGCUAAGUCGCUUCAGUCGUGUCCUACUCUUAGUAACCGCACGGACUGCAGCCUACCAGGCUUCUCCGUCCGUGGGAUUUUCCAGGCAAGAGUACUGGAAAAUUGCCUUCUACGAGGAUCCGUGGGGUCCCCACAUUCUUCAGGCCGGUGGGGUGGGUCGGUAGCUUCGGACACGGGCACGCGGGCAGGUUACUAGACGUGAGAGCCUCAUCUGGUCCAUAGGUCCCACCCAGUCCGAGAACCCGUAGGGGGAAAUCACAGGCAAGCCUCCCGCCCCGCACCUGCAGCGCCGUCACCUUCCGAACCAACCGCUCCCGCUCCAUCCGGGCGCAAACUGACCCGCCCGGCGCCUGCGCAGUGCGUCACCGGCCUGCGCCGCGGGCCGAUGGGCUCAGGCCCCGCCCCGCCGCCUCCUUUGGGCUGCAGCCAGGACCCCGCGUGAGCGGGUGCUGUUCCCACACACCCCGAGCAGCCCCGGAGAAUCUAACUGCCCUAGCGGGACCUCCCAAACCAGAAGUGUGUUGCGCAGGGGCGUCCAUGCGAGAGCUGGGGCCCGGGCGCUCCUGCCGAGUAAAAGGCGCAAUGAGAGAA